UCCCAGGAGUCUGCGGGGCGGCGGGUUAGGAACCGCAAGGUCCCAGCAGCGGACGCUCGGGUGUGUUAGUGUCGGCGCCCGCGCUUUUCCGGGUUGGACUCCCGUUUCUCACAGGCCUUGGGGGGACUGAUGAACUUCGGCCUCUGGUUCUUUUUCCGCUAGCCUUGUGGUCAUCGUUUUUCGUGUGUUCUCACCUCUGUAGUCUCUGUGCUUCUCCAGGAGGGAAACCCUGAAGAGUACUGACAAGUUCUCAACCAUUUUAAACCAUGGCUUUGGAAUGGGUAACAUUCAGGAAAGCGGCCCUAGAGUUCACUCAGGAGGAAUGGAAUAUCUGGGGUUCUGCUCUGAGGGAAUUGUACUGGGAUGUGAUGAUGGAAAACAGCAACUUAGUCUCACUGGGCAGUGUGACCACCAUAUUUGAGCAAGGGAAGAAGCUGGGAAGGUUGUCAAGAAGACAGAGAGCUCAGCUGAGUGAGGGCUGAUCAGGCAGGGAACUUUAAUUACAACUGUUAGGCCUUUUUAAAAAAUUUUUCACUUUUCAAUUGUUUGAUGUUACUAUAUAAAAUUAGUUUAUUAUAUAAUAACUUUGUAUCCAGCAACUUUUCUAAUUUACUUAUAAGUGCUAGUUCUUGCUUUACAGAUUCUUUAGGAUUUUGUAAACAAACAAUUGCCAUCUACAAAUAGGGUUUUCUUCUUCUUUGCCAGUGUUUAUAUCUUCAUUCAUUUUUAUUGCCUUAAUGUAAUUGCUAGGACUUCCAAUACAGUGUUGAAUAGAAGUAGUGAAAGUAGACAUUGUUGCCCUUUUUUGGUCAUAGGAGGAUAAUGUUUAAUAUUUCAUCAUUACACAUAGGUGGAGGUUUUGUGUAGAUGCUCUAUCAAAUUUGGCAAGUUCUCUAGUCCUAGCUUGCUGAGAGUUUUUAUCAUGAAGGGAUAUUAUAUUUUGUAAGAUACUUUUUCUGAAUCUACUGAAGCAAUAUGUCUUUACUCCUUUAUUCAACUAAUAUGAU